CAUCGUUCCUCUCCCUCUCUCUCGAUCUCUCAUAAGAAACAGUAUCGAAGAUAAACUCAUUUCUCUUCUUCUUCGUUGUUCUUCGUUUUCUUUCUUCUGAACUUCUUCUUUUUCGUUGUUCUUCGAUUUUUUUCUUCUCAAAAGAAUGAACUGAGAAAUCGUUCAUAUCAAUUAAGAAGAAAUCUGGAGAAGUAAAUGAAUCAGGAAGUUGUUACCGAGGUUGUGAAUUUGGUUUUGGUUAGGUUUAUUAUUGAUUGAAUAACGACGAAUCAGUAAGAAAUAGAGUUAGGGUUUCUGCAGUUAGUAUUGAGUUUGUGCAAAAUCGAAGGAGGAAUUGGUGGAUUGAAUAACAUAAGGAGGAGACGGUAGAGUUGUAUUAACUCCGGUUACAGAGGAUAGGGUAAAUCAGGAAGAGGGAGUUAGGGUUUGGAAAUUGAUUUAAGGUUCAAUUAGUGAUAGAUGGGAAGAAAUCAAAGACUGGGUUUGGUGAUUUGAGAAGUGAAUCGAUGUUUUGAAAUGAUGGUUCUGAGUAUAGAUGAUGGUAAUUGAAGAUGAAACCGAUGGUUAAGGUUUGGAAUUUGAUUUAAGGUUACGAUAAAAUUGAGUAAAAAGUUAAGUAAAGGAGGCUUUGGUCAAGUAUAUGUUGGUAGAAGGGUUUCAGGUGGAAGUAGGACUUCUUGUCCAACUGUUGUAGAGGUCUCAUGCGAUGGAACAUCUAAUGAUCAAACUACUCAUGGAAAAUCCUAUUUUGAUCGUUUACGUGUUGCGGUUUAUGAAGCCUUGCCUAUUUUCUGUCAUGUCGAACCAGAAGGGAAGCCAAGUAGUUCAAAAACUUUGCAAACAUGUGAAAAAUAUGUACUUGGGGGAUCUAUACGAAAUAGCAGUGAUAAACUGCGAAUAAGCUUUGCUACUACAGAACAAGGAUGUUUCUCUCUCAAAGCUGUUAUUGAAUCCAUAGACAAGUUUCAGCUGCUAUCAAUCAUCAUAGACCAGGUUGUGUCCCUUUCUGCACACGAAUACGGGAAUUUUGUGGUGCAACAUGUACUAGAGCGCCAUCCUAAUACUGCCAACCUUAUAUGCAAUAACCUUAGGGGACACUUAUUUCGAAUUUCUAAGGCAGUAAUGUUGUAGAAAAAUGUAUCGAAUCGAAUGCUACCAAUGUUAUAGUUUCGCAACUCUUCUGUGAUUGUAAUCAACUUGUUGAACUCGCUCAAGAUAAGUUUGGCAACUAUGUCGUCCAGAAAGCCCUUAAAGCUUAGUAAGGGAAAGGCAUUACGCCAACUAGUUGACGCCCUUCGCAAAUGUUCGGGCGAUCUCAAGAAUCAUCCAAAUGGGAGGAAUGUGCAUAACUUGAUUAAAGGAGAAUUGUUGCUGUACGAGAAUGAUUUAAGUUGUUGUACGAGAAUGAUUUAAGGUGUUUUUAGAGAAAAUAAACAUGUGUGUAAAAUUCGGCUCAAAAAGUGCUAUUUGGAACCCCGGAGGAGAUUUGUUACCCUGACUCUCAGUUUGGAUAAGGGACACCCAAUUACUAAGGGGCACACUAGCUGUUAUUUACACCCCACUGGUGGGCAGCUGCUAAAGAGACACCGUAUCCAGAUAGGGGGACUCCCCUUUCUUCUUCGUUUGAAUCUAAAAAUUGGCAGGAAUAUUUGAGCUUCACGGACCAGAAUUAGGGAUUGUAAAUUGGAGAUGUUAGAAGGAGACUAGAGCGCUGAAACUCUUGGGGACGACUUAUUUUGACCUAACAGAGAUGGUAUGGGCUUUAGAAUCGCUGAAAUUUGGCUGGAUAUUGUUUCCCAACAAAACAGGAGAGGCUAGUUUUCUCGGGUUUUCUGGGAAAGUUUGGGCAGAGAUUUACUUGGAGAUUUUCAUGGGAAAGGCUUUGUUUGGGCCUGUGAUGAUGAAACAGGUCUGGUAAAUCCUUUGGUUUCGAGAAAAUAGCAAAGUUUACGUGGAUUUAACAAAACAGAGAGGAAUAUUCUCCCGUGAGAUAUUCUCGAGAUUAUUGUUAUUCUUGGUUGAUUUGGGUGGCUGAGUGUGUUUGACAGCAUCAGCGAUGAGUAAGAAGCAUACUGGGAGUGUUCUGGCAGAAAACCAACGCGUGAAAAGGAGAGAAAGGAAAGAUAUUAUUGACGAGAUUAAUUUUCUUUACUGUCGAGUUAUGGGAGAUCUUUUGGAGUUUUGAGGAGUAAUCCUUGGUCCUGACGAGUAUAUAUAGCGUACUGGUGGAGCAGAAAAGGGGGAUGGAGAGUUAGGGGAGAAAACAAAGGCUUAGAAUCGAGUUGCAGACAAUCACCAUUGCUGCAACGAAGAAGAAGAGAAAGAACACAAAACAACACAUAUAGACAGUCGCAGAACCGUUGCCUUCACUUUCAAAUUUGAUUAUCUUUGUAACAAUUUCUGUAACACUUAAUCCAGUUCGCAACAGUCUGUUAGUGUUUCUUUGUAACAGUGGGUUCUGUAACAAUUAUAACUGUAACAAACACACUGCUUUAUACCUUUUCUCCUUGCAAACACCUUUUUGAGCAAUGAAAAAUUCAUUUGAGUGUGUUUUCACC